rnacentral:rRNA from 1 species
UACGAAGGGGGCUAGCGUUGUUCGGAAUUACUGGGCGUAAAGCGCACGUAGGCGGUUUUCCAAGUUGGAGGUGAAAUCCCCGGGCUUAACCCGGGAACUGCCUCCAAAACUGGGACACUCGAGUCCGAGAGAGGUGAGUGGAAUUUCCAGUGUAGAGGUGAAAUUCGUAGAUAUUGGAAAGAACACCAGUGGCGAAGGCGGCUCACUGGCUCGGUACUGACGCUGAGGAGCGACAGCGUGGGGAGCAAACAGGAUUAGAUACCCUGGUAGUCCACGCCGUAAACUAUGGGUGCUAGUUGUCGGGCAGCUUGCUGUUCGGUGACGCAGCUAACGCAUUAAGCACCCCGCCUGGGGAGUACGGUCGCAAGAUUAAAACUCAAAG